AUGGAGGCGCAAGUGCCUCGGCCCCUGCGGCUCAUCUUCCUCCUCUGCUUCUUCUCCGCUCUGCCACGCCGCUGCCGCUUCCUCGCCGCCGAGGCGGCUCCAACGCUCGUCGCCAGCCUUCCAGGCUUCGAUGGCCCCCUCCCGUUCCGGCUUGAGACCGGGUACGUGACCGUGGACGAGCAGAACGGCUCGGAGCUGUUCUACUACUUCAUCGAGUCGGAGGGCGACUCACGGAGCGACCCGGUCAUCGUCUGGAUCACCGGUGGCGACCGCUGCAGCGUCCUGAGCGCGUUGCUCUUCGAGAUAGGUCCGUUGAAAUUAAUCGGAGAGCCCUACAAUGGCACCAUACCGCGGCUGCGGUACCACCCCUACGCAUGGACCAAAGUUGCCAGUGUCCUGUUCGUGGACUCGCCGGUCGGCGCCGGGUUCUCCUUCUCCCGGGACCCCAGAGGCUAUGAUGUUGGGGAAGUCUCUUCUUCGCUGCAGCUCAAAAAGUUCCUCACCAAGUGGUUCACCGAGCAUCCUGAUUACCUUCCAAAUCCUUUCUACGUCGGAGGAGACUCAUCCGGUGGAAAGAUCGUUCCAUUUCUCGCACAGAAGAUCUCAGAAGAUAUUGAAGCUGCAGUGAGGCCGUUAAUUAAUCUUAAGGGCUAUCUGGUCGGCAACCCGGCUACCGGUGAAUACAACAUCGAUUAUGGAUCGAGAGUGCCAUAUCUUCAUGGAAUGGGCAUAAUUUCAGAUCAGUUGUAUGAGCUGUGGAAUGAAAUUUCACAUCCACACAUUUUGUACAAAAAGUGUGUCUAUGCGUCUUCCAAACCAAACGACGGGAGUACAGAAAGAAAGAUCCUAAAGGAGGAAGUAGGAGUACUUAAGCAUCCACCUCCUCGUCCUCCAAUGGGUUGCCAGAACUAUGUUAAUUACCUAUCAUAUUUUUGGGCUAACAACAACAUCACUAGGAAAGCCCUUGGGAUCAAGAAGGGGAGCAAGGAUGAAUGGGUGAGGUGCCACGAACGAGAUCUACCUUAUUCUUUGGAGAUCAAGAGCACAGUAAAGUACCAUCGUAAUAUGACGCUAAAAGGUUAUCGUGCACUGGUAUAUAGUGGAGACCAUGAUUCUGUUAUACCAUUUCUGGGUACACAGUCUUGGCUGAGAUCACUCAAUUUCCCGGUAGUGGAUGAGUGGAGGGCUUGGCAUCUAAAUGGACAGUCCGCGGGAUUCACCAUAACAUACACAAACAACCUGACGUUUGCUACGGUAAAGAACGGUGGACACACUGCACCAGAGUUCGAACCAGAGAGAUGCCUCGCUAUGUUCGCGCGUUGGGUUUCCCAUGAGUCGCUCUGA
rnacentral:rRNA from 1 species